rnacentral:rRNA from 1 species
ACGGGAGGCAGCAGUAGGGAAUAUUGCACAAUGGGGGGAACCCUGAUGCAGCAACGCCACGUGUGGGAAGAAGCAUUUCGGUGUGUAAGCCACUGUCGUGAGGGAAUAAUGCUUGGUCUCGGCCAAGUUGAAUGUACCUCGAAAGGAAGCACCGGCAAACUUCGUGCCAGCAGCCGCGGUAAUACGAGGGGUGCAAGCGUUGUUCGGAAUCACUGGGCGUAAAGGGAGCGCAGGCGGAGAUGCAAGCAGUCUGUACAAUACCGGGGCCCAACCCCGGACCUGCAGACUGGACUGUUUCUCUUGGAUAGUUCAGGGGCAAGCGGAAUUCCUGGUGUAGCGGUGGAAUGCGUAGAGAUCAGGAAGAACACCGAUGGCGAAGGCAGCCAGCUGGGGGCUUAUCGACGCUCAUGCUCGAAAGUGCGGGUAGCAAACAGGAUUAGAUACCCUGGUA